rnacentral:rRNA from 1 species
AACGAACGCUGGCGGCAGGCCUAACACAUGCAAGUCGAGGGGUAUAGUUCUUCGGAACUAGAGACCGGCGCACGGGUGCGUAACGCGUAUGCAAUCUACCUUUUACAGGGGGAUAGCCCAGAGAAAUUUGGAUUAAUACCCCAUAGUAUGUUAGAGUGGCAUCAUUUUAACAUUAAAGUUCCAACGGUAAAAGAUGAGCAUGCGUCCCAUUAGCUAGAUGGUAAGGUAACGGCUUACCAUGGCGACGAUGGGUAGGGGUCCUGAGAGGGAGAUCCCCCACACUGGUACUGAGACACGGACCAGACUCCUACGGGAGGCAGCAGUGAGGAAUAUUGGACAAUGGGCGCAAGCCUGAUCCAGCCAUGCCGCGUGCAGGAAGACGGUCCUAUGGAUUGUAAACUGCUUUUGUACAGGAAGAAACACUCCCUCGUGAGGGAGCUUGACGGUACUGUAAGAAUAAGGAUCGGCUAACUCCGUGCCAGCCGCCGCCGUAAUAC